rnacentral:rRNA from 1 species
AAAUAGGAGACCGCGGUACUCUGACCGUGCAAAGGUAGCAUAAUCACUUGUUCUUUAAUUGGGGACUGGUAUGAAAGAAAGUUUGAGGUCUAAUCUGUCUCUUUUUUGUUUUAAAAUUUGCUGUCUGUGUGAAGAAGCACAGGUUGUUAAAAAAGACAAGAAGACCCUUUUAAGCUUUAUUUAGAAUUCUUUGGCUUUUUCUUUCAAGAAUUUGGCUAAGGUCUAUAAAUUUGGUUGGGGUGACUGAAGAAGAUAAAAUCUUCUUUUGUUUAUUAGUACUUUAGGUUAAAAAAUGACCCAAGAUUUCUUGGUUGUAAGAAUUAUUUUACUAAAGGGAUAACAGCGUAAUCUUUUCAAAGAGUUCUUAUUGAAGAAAAAGAUUGCGACC